UUUUAAUGUGGCAAAGCAAAAACAAAUUUUUGUUUUUAUCUUUCAAUGUUACUGUGUUAUGGUACAGUUUUAGAAAAUAGAAGUCUUAUGUAGCCUACUAUACAAAUUUUAUUUUAAAUUACAACAAUUUUAUUCAGUAAAUGAUAAAAAUCAUGUAUUAUGUGUUUUAUUAUGAAUACUUCUAUAUCAACAAUGGCAAAGCUCAAAAAGUAAAUUUAUUUGAAUCAAAGAAAAAGCAAAAGAGAAUGUAAAGAGGAAGAAAAGAAGAAAAACUAUGAGCAAAUACUGUUUCUCAGAUUUACUUAAAAUUAAGUUUAAAAAUACUUACUGACAGCAUGUGCAGACACCGAUGACCAAAAUAAUAAAAACUACCAUAACUGCUAUCAAACAAAUCACCAGAAUCUGUCCUCUGUCUCCUCUUAGGUAAAACAAGUCAACUCUCUCACACCUUGCUCCAAUGUAGCCUUCAUCACAGCUAUAAAACAAGACGAGGGCAAGGAAGUAAAACUUGCAAGACUUUUAAGAAUCUCUACUUCUUUUCUGAAGAAAUUAACAGUUCUCAUUACUUGAAAUUAAUAAAGAACACAGUUCCCUUUUUAAAAAAAGAUGCACUACUUUGUUGACCAGUAAUUUCAAUUUUUUUUUGCUUUGCUGAAUACCUGUCAUCACUUGAUCAUUAGACAUUAUUGAUAUGUCUAAUAUAAAUACACAAGGAUGAUGACAAUUAACUAAAAUGUAUUUUAAAAUUUUAGUCUCUGAAUUCAAAAAGGAAAGGAGGAUAAAAUUCCCAGUGCUUAAAUAACUCCAUGACAAGGAACUCAAAAAUCCCCAGGACUUCCCAUUUCAUCACAGGAUAAUGCAAAUAGUUUUGAUGUUCUCAUGCUCUCCUAUAAAUUAUAUAAAAAUUGUAUGGUUUUAUAUGAUCAAAUGUGCUAAUGCAUGUGAAAGUUCAUAACACAAUGUUCCAUAAACGUUAGAUAGAGAGAAUGUUCCAUAAGUGUUAUUUCUACAGAAUUUCUUUCGUCUUUCCUCCACUGUAAAUUCUACCCGUUGAUUCUAGUUCUACUGCUUGAGGGCAUCACAGAUUAGGUCAUGCCCUUCUAUUACUCUUCUGUUCGCCGCCUCCUUCAUUACAUCCCUGCAAACACAUAAGUCUUGUCCUCUUUAGCUCCUUUAUCUGAUUCCUAAAACCACAUUUGCAGAUCUGUUCACCGUUCCCUUCACUCUCCUCUAAAUGCCCUCCCUUUUUUCCAUGGCCUUCUUCAAGGGAAUGACCAGAAAUCAACAGUCUCUCUUCAUUUCCCUCAUUCUCUCAGCUUUCUGUCAAUCUGCCUUAGGAUACAUCUAACAUAAACAGAUGUCCUUAAUCUGAGAUUACAGUUAUGCAUCCACUUGACCAAGCUGGGGCUUGUCUGAGUAACAUCCAGGGAGCUAACAACUCAGUGAUUUGAGUACUCCCCAUAGAAUUAUCUGAACUGCAUCAGAGAAUUAAGGUACAUAAAAAGUUUGGGGACAUUUUAACCAAAAUUAUCUGUUGUAACCUUAGUACCUUAGUAUUAAUAAACAUUUUCCUUUAUUAAUAUUAGGGAAAUAGUAAUCAAAAAUAUUAAUAAAUAUUUUCCUUAAGAGAAUGCUUCAAAUGAAGUUAAAACACAAAGUGAUACUGGUCAUAUACAUAAUUAUUCAAAGGUCAAAAAGAUUAAAUUCUGCUCCUUAGAAAACUUCUGUGCAACCCCAUUUUCCUUUAAGAAAGGAUUUACGGCUGGGCUGUUCUAUAGCUUAUGCUUGACAAAAGCCAAGGCAGUUAAUCCUCACAAAGCCUGUAUUUCUCAAGUGAAGAGAUCCCUUAAUGCCAAUAUUGUAGCUGAGACAGUGCUUCAAAACAAAUAAACAAAAAAACAAGCUCAGUAACAGCCAUCACUUGAAAGGUGAGGCUUAAUGCAAGCAAAGGAGAAAAGACAACUAAAGGCAUCUAUUAUAAAAGGACCCAAGGAUGAAUGAAAGAAAAUUGCUUCCUGCAAGAUAGCUAAGUAUCUUCAUUCUGAGGUCAAAAUUACAGGAAGAGAGCUUAGAAAUAUCUUGAGAUAUCAAAAAUCUGUCAUACAUAAGACCAAAACUAGGGAUGGGGGAAUCACUUUUUUUUUUUUUUUUUUGAGACGGUGUCUCGCUCUGUAGCCAGGCUGGAGUGCAGUGGCGCAAUUUCGGUUCACUGCAACCUCCGUCUCCCGGGUUCAAGCGAUUCUCCUGCCUCAGCUUCCGAAGUAACUGGGACUAAACCACGCGCGCCACCAUGCCCAGCUAAUUCUUAUAUUUUUAGUAGAGACAGGGUUUCCACCAUGUUAGCCAGGAUGGUCUCAAUCUCUUGACCUCGUGAUCCUCCCACGUCGGCUUCCCAAAGUGCUGGGAUUACAGGCGUGAGCCACCGUGACUGGCCGGGAAUCACUUUUAAUUGCACACAGGAGGGCGUCUGCUCGGCCACCACGAAGCGGCAUCUCCCUUUGAUGCAGUAAUGCUUG
rnacentral:lncRNA from 1 species